rnacentral:misc_RNA from 1 species
GAAGAAAUUGAAGCUAAACUUCGACAUGCGGAUCUUCGCAGACAGCAAUUCUACGAGAUGCUGUCAAGCAAGGCAAGACCAAAGCCUAGAAGCCCCUCACGGUCUUCAUCUCAAGAGGAAGACCUUGGCCAUCGUCUUGAAGCUAAGCUUCAAGCUGCAGAGCAGAAAAGGUUGGACAUUCUUGCAAAGGCCCAGAUGCGACUAGCUAGGUUGGAUGAGUUGCGUCAGGCAGCGAAAAGUGGGGCAGAAUUGCGAUUUGCUAGAGAAAGAGAGAGGCUUGGUACGAAAGUAGAAUUGCGGGUUCAGCAAGCAG